rnacentral:rRNA from 1 species
GGUCCUACGGGAGGCAGCAGUGGGGAAUAUUGGGCACUGGGCGCAAGCCUGACCCAGCAACGCCGCGUGAAGGAAGAAGGCUUUCGGGUUGUAAACUUCUUUUAAGAGGGAAGAGUAGAAGACGGUACCUCUUGAAUAAGCCACGGCUAACUACGUGCCAGCAGCCGCGGUAAUACGUAGGUGGCAAGCGUUGUCCGGAUUUACUGGGCGUAAAGGGCGUGUAGCCGGGCCGGCAAGUCAGAUGUGAAAUCCCAAGGCUCAACCUUGGAACUGCAUUUGAAGCUGGUGGUCUUGAGUAUCGGUGG